rnacentral:rRNA from 1 species
GACGUAGGAGGCAAGCGUUAUCCGGAUUUAUUGGGCGUAAAGGGCAAGUAGGCGGUUGUCAAAGUUGGGCGUAACAUCUCCUGGCUUAACUAGGAGCAGUCGUUCAAAACUAGGCAACUAGAGGGCAGAAGAGGAAAGCAGAACUUCUGAUGUAGCGGUGGAAUGCUCAGAUAUCAGAAAGAAUACCAGUGGCGAAGGCGGCUUUCUGGUCUGCACCUGACGCUGAGAGGCGAAGGCUAGGGUAGCAAACGUGCUUAGAUACCCCGGUAGUCCUAGCAGUAAACGGUGGAUACUAGGUAUCAGGGGUUAAGGCCUUUGGUGCCGAAGCAAACGCGUUAAGUAUCCCGCCUGGGAACUACGGCCGCAAGGUUAAA